rnacentral:sRNA from 1 species
UGAAUUUCUUGACCAACUUGUAGUCUAACUAAAAAGUCCAUAUUUACAUAUGUGUGUACACCGCUAGUGGUGAAAAAGGUAAAAGUAUACAUCUCGGAAUAGGUAGCACCCCACAAUAUAUUUUUUUGCAUAGUUUUAAAACACAUUGAAUUUCAUGUAAAUACAACCUCUUAUGACAACUAAUUAUAAGGAUAUCAAAUGACAUAAGUCGGACAAAUACAAAUAUGAUAUCAACACAUGCAUACAAAAACUUAUGUUGAUAUGUCCUGCUGUAGUUGCCUGUUAAUGCUAGCUUUAUAUUGUUUUUUGCCAGUUUAAUUAAAUUGGAAUGUGUUGCAUUUCAUGCCUAUGAAUAAUAUUUAUACCCCCACUCUGAAGAAGAAGGAGAUGUACUGUUUUAUUGUUGUGUGUGUGUCUGUCUGUCCAUCUGUUACAAAAUUCUGUCACAUUCUUCAUCGCAGAUGCUUGAAAUUUAAACACACUCUUUGCUUUGGUAUACUGUGUAAUGGGAUUUAUUUUUGUACCAAUCAGACUUCCUGUUUAAAGAAGACUUAGUUAAAAUUUAAUCUAAAAUUUUCAUGCUAUGUUGUGGGAUUCAUUUUUGAACAAAUUUGAUGCCAACUUCCUGUUAAAUGUUCACUUUGCUUAUUUUGUAUAUUCACAUCGGAGCAAGGGUAUGACAAGUGAGCAUUGGCACACAGCUAUCUUGUUUUGUUCUGAUUUAAUUGAACUGGGAAUAUACUGUGGAGUUAUUUAAUUUCAUGGGGGCCAAAUUUCAUUGACUUUUGGUGUUUUGCUUAUUUGUUGGGAUGUAAUAUCUUGAGUGCGCCGGUUUUUAAAUUAAGUAGGAAAACUGUAUAUCUUACAAUAAGUUUUCGUUGAGGCUGUAAAUUUGUGCUUGAGGGCUACCCACGAAUACCAUGAAAACUGAGCCACAACAAAUUCUAAUGAUUCCACAGUACAAUAUAUGAUCUAGUCAGGAGAACCAAUCUUUGGGUUAAGUUGAAAACUCUAAAAAAAAAAAUCAAGUAUUGCUAUAGACCGAGGGAAGAUCAGAAUUUUUGGUUUGUGUUUCACUGAACAUGUAAGAGAACAGAACAUCUUUCACAUUCCUUUCUUAAUCAUAAUUUGAAGUUUUUAUUUUGAAUACUGUAAAAUAGUAUUUAACUUGUAUGGUAUUUGGUGGAAAUUGAUUUUUACAACAUAUUAGAGCACUGUGCAUCUAAAUGCAUUUAUUUAAAUGCAUACAUGCUUGACAUUAAGCGAUGUUGCAGAAGUUACUGCUUUGCACCAUAAACACACACACACACAAAUAUGCAGCUAAUUACAGUAACUGGCUGCUGUAGGAAUCGUGAUUUUCAUUGUGAAGUCCAUUUUACCUUUAAUAUGUCACUAUCCUAUCAGUUUGGCCCCAGUAGAUACACAUUUCCUGUAAGCCAUGGUGCUCAGAAGGAUUCAAUUACUGUAUACAGUGUUAUUAUCGCCCUGUGUAAUUUUCGCCCUUCUACACUUGCAAACAGUUUUACCCCAUCUUGAAUAUGCCCAGACACAGUUGUGUUUAAAGAAAGAUAACAUGAAACAUUGACAUUCGCCCAGUCUUAAAUUUGCCCGCUGGUAACAAGGGCAAAAGGGGCAAAAAUAAAACGGGGGCGAAUAUUUCCCUGUAUACAGUAUGUUUAAUUCAUCAAUCAAGUAGAUAUUUAAAUUGUUCAGUUUUUCAGCAGUCCGCUGGGUGAAUUACAUCUAUCCUUCCACCCUUUACACUGAGGAUAGAUAGCUUCUUUGAUAUUUAAGAUUUCACAGUCUCUUUUGUGAUAGUUUACAAACCAGGAUUAAAAUUUCUUCGAAAAAUUUAGAGGAUUAAAGAUAACGGACAUUAAAUAAUUUGUGGUUGCCAUUUUCACAGAUGGCCGAGUCUUAAGGUUUGCUUUUGAAGAAGUUACAGAUAAAUGGAAUUAUUAAGAUAUGAAAAAAUGUCAAAAUUAUAAUAUAGUUUGCAUUUGUGUAAAUACGAAGUGUUGUGGUAGAAAUUGUGCUUAUGAAUUUUUGUAAGAGAGGAGAUGCCUGCAGGUCUAUAGCAAAGUCGGAUGGCGCGUGACCAACCAGAAUUUUUUCUCUAAAACUACAGAACCUGCAGUUAGAGAGGAGUACACAUUUAUAAGAUGAAAUGAUUUAUACAUGUAUUUAACCUUCACAUAUUGUAUAAAAUCUAUCAUGUUUCUGCAAAGAUAGCAUUUGUUUUGUCAUACAACUUUACAUUAUUUUGUUCAUACUUGAAUGUAUGUUCUCCAUCUGUGAUAAAAUACCAUAUUGAAUAAAUACAUUUCUCAUU